rnacentral:rRNA from 1 species
GACGAACGCUGGCGGCGUGCUUAACACAUGCAAGUCGAACGGAGCGAAUGAAAGCUUGCUUUUAUGAGCUUAGUGGCAAACGGGUGAGUAACACGUAGACAACCUGCCGACAGGAUGGGGACAACAUUCCGAAAGGAAUGCUAAUACCGAAUGAAGUCAGAGGAGGGCAUCCUCCUCUGAUGAAAGAUGGCCUCUAUUUAUAAGCUAUCACCUGUUGAUGGGUCUGCGUCUGAUUAGCUGGUUGGUGAGGUAACGGCUCACCAAGGCGACGAUCAGUAGCCGGUCUGAGAGGAUGAACGGCCACAUUGGGACUGAGACACGGCCCAGACUCCUACGGGAGGCAGCAGUGGGGAAUCUUCCGCAAUGGGCGCAAGCCUGACGGAGCAACGCCGCGUGAGUGAAGAAGGUCUUCGGAUCGUAAAGCUCUGUUGACGGGGACGAACGUGCGGAGUGCGAAUAGCGCUU